AUUGAACGCUGGCGGCAGGCCUAACACAUGCAAGUCGAACGAGUGGCGGACGGGUGAGUAAUGUCUGGGACACCGCCCUAUGGAGGGGGAUAAAUACUGGAAACGGUAGCUAAUACCGCAUACCAUCGGAUGUGCCCAUAUGGGAUUCGCUAGUAGGUGGGGUAAUGGCUCACCUAGGCGACGCUCACUAGCUGGUCUGAGAGGAUGACCAGCCACACGGGAACUGAGACACGGGCCAGACGCCUACGGGAGGCAGCAGUGGGGAAUAUUGCACAAUGGGCGCAAGCCGGAUGCAGCCAUGCCGCGUGUAUGAAGAAGGCCUUCGGGUUGUAAAGUACUUUCAGCGAGGAGGCGUUACUCGCAGAAGAAGCACCGGCUAACUCCGUGCCAGCAGCCGCGGUAAUUC
rnacentral:rRNA from 1 species